CCUACGGGUGGCUGCAGUAGGGAAUAUUGCUCAAUGGGGGAAACCCUGAAGCAGCAAAGCCGCGUGGAGGAUGAAGGUUUUAGGAUUGUUAACUCCUUUUGUUAGAGAAGAUAAUGACGGUAUCUAACGAAUAAGCACCGGCUAACUCCGUGCCAGCAGCCGCGGUAAUACGGAGGGUGCAAGCGUUACUCGGAAUCACUGGGCGUAAAGAGGGCGUAGGCGGGAUAGCAAGUCAGAUGUGAAAUCCUAUGGCUUAACCAUAGAACUGCAGUUGAAACUGUCAUUCUAGAGUAUGGGAGAGGUAGGUGGAAUUCGUGGUGUAGGGGUAAAAUCCUUAGAGAUCAAGAGGAAUACUGAUUGCGAAGGCGACCUGCUAGAACAUAACUGACGCUGAUGCGCGAAAGCGUGGGGAGCGAACAGGAUUAGAUACCCCUGUAGUC
rnacentral:rRNA from 1 species